UCACCACUCGAGGGACGAGGCGCCGCGCAGUCACGUGGAUAUCUGAAUUGCGCGUUAAUCACCUCAGUAAUUGAACACCGGUGUCAUUAGUUUGUGUAGUGGUCGUUAAUUGUACUUUGCAGUAGUGCAGGCAAAGGAAGCGUUAGACUCUCUAGCUUCCAUGGAGCUGACUUUGCCGUGGGUACUGAGCGCUGGCAGCAGGGAGUGUGGUGCUGGAGGCCUGGUGUUCCCUGUCUGAUUUACUCCGUGGCGACGCCGGACAGCAGUAGGAGCGAGCCGAAAAAAAUCCUAUCCCACAAACGAAAUGUCGUCUAAAACCUCCAAUAUCUCACCCUGACUUCACUCAACGUGGCGGUGAGUAGCAGCGUCCGCCGCCUGUCACGGGACUGCCUACCUCCACUAAUGACCGACUUGGUGACGUCUGACGCCUCCAAGUCCCUGAUUUCUGUUACAGAAUACCACCACCACCACCUCCUCCUCCUCCUCCUCCUCCUCCUCCUCCUCCUCCUCCUACCUUGACAUUGCCACCUCACCCCCUCGAGUGCUUUCCUCAGCCUCCGAUCAUCACAUCAUGACCUGCCGUGCCUGUCUUCCUGAACUCCUCCUCCUCCUCCUCCUCCUCCUCCUCCUCCUACCUUGACAUUGCCACCUCACCCCCUCGCGUGCUUUCCUCAGCCUCCGAUCAUCACAUCAUGACCUGCCGUGCCUGUCUUCCUGAACUCCUCCUCCUCCUCCUGCUCCUCCUCCUCCUCCUACCUUGACAUUGCCACCUCACCCCCUCGCGUGCUUUCCUUAGCCUCCGCUCAUCACAUCAUGACCUGCCGUGCCUGUCUUCCUGAAUAGCAGCCGCGAUGUCUUCAUCUUCAACUUGCGCCUCAUUUCCUGCAAACUCGUACGUCUUCUUGAGCGGCGGGUUUGCAAGCGAGAUAAAAAGAAAAGGAAAAAAGGAUAAAGGAAAUAUAAAGAAAAAGAAAAAAAAACGGAGAGAGAAAACGGACAGUAGGAACCGAACUGAAAUGCUGAAACGAUAUCGAAUGAAAAUAAAUAAAUAAAUACUACUUUUCAAAGACGGAUAUUCAAGUGCAAGAUGAGCCUUGAAAUUUUCAUAUUACUAAACAAAUACUUAAAGAAUAAAAAAAACUUUUGAUCAAUAAGGGCUUCAAUUGUAAACACCCAUUGAAAUCUUGCAAGGCCACAAAAAAAAAAAAAAAGGCUAAACACAAUGAAUCGGAUUAAAAUUGACGAGUCAUUGAAAAAGACAGAUAAAGAAUCACAAAAAAUAAAUAAAUAAUAAUAAUAAAUAAAUAAAUAAAUAAAUAAGAAAUAUUGAUCAGAUAUUCAACUGUAAGAAGCGGAGUGAAUGUUUUGUGAGGCGGGGUAGGCGGCUGGGAGCUCCAUCCAGUGCGGGGCCAGAACCUUACAAGAGAGGCCCGGGAAAAUGUUGAGGUCCCGCAGUGAAGUGGCUGGCCUUGGAGUGUCCCUGCGAGAGGCCGAGAUAAAAGCUUCCCUUCCACGCUGACUUACGCUGCUGCUAAACUUUUCUCGGCAGCGUUUUCCAGUAAUGCUGCGACACUCUGGCUGAAGGCGUAGGUACGAGUAUAAUACGAUGCGAUGGUAGUAUGAUACGAGUAUUUACGAAGCUUUUUUAUUUGUUUCCAUCCCGAAUUUUCCUAUUAAUUAUGUGACAUUGGUGCUUGAUGACAUACAGUAUAAUAGGAUACAAUGCUUAGUAUGAUAUUAGGAAGCGUUAUUUAUUUAUUUUUUUUCAUAUUGCGUUGUUUCAUGUCAAGAAUAAUACAUGGAUUUUCCUAUUAAUUCUGGGACACUGCGGCUUGAUGGUUUACCGUAUAAUACGAUAGAAUGUUUAGUAUAAUAUUUCGGAGGAUUUGUGUAUUUGUUUUAAUGCAUUGUUUGAUGUAAGAAAUACUUAAGACAGUAAUUAAUAUCACGUAUAUUUUCCAGCAGACUUGUAGAAUGUUUAACGUUGUAACUGACCAAAAAUAUAAAGUACAGAAAUAACAUACAAGGAAAA